rnacentral:lncRNA from 1 species
CACCCAGGAAAUCUUAUUCCCUUUAUUCUCUUCAACUAAGCAACAUGACCACCAGUGACACAACACUGUUUUGGACACACAACACUCAAAAAUGGGGCCUCUCUUCACUCCAUGGGGACAAGUCCGGUGACUGGGGCUUCCCUAGUGAGGGCAAAGGAGUCUGGGAGCUGCUGACCUCAGGGCAGGUCAUGGAACCCCACCUCUUGGCUGUGAUGGCUUCAAGUUUCCCCACCAUUCAGGAUUCAUGCCCAGUUCCAAGUUCCCAUCUGACCUCCAUGUCCAUAGCAGUUUCAAGUUUCACUCUAAGCUCUCCCCUCUGCUUUCCCCACUGACUCCCUGACCCUAUCUGUUGGGCUCCUCCCUCCACCAGGGCGUUUCUGAGGGGCCUGGGGCCUGCAUGUGAUUGGACAAGAGGGUUUGGCUGCACAGUGCCUUCCAGACUCAGUUGUGGUGAGCAAAUGCUUUGACCCCUGGGCCUUCAUCUGAGCCGAUCUGAGCAACUCUAGCCACUGCCACCUCCCUGCUUCAAUCCUCCCAAGACGUAGCUCACUCUGGGAGGGAAGCUCCUGGUUAAAGGAGCUUGGGGAGGUGGGCAAGAGAGAACACGCCACACCCCAGAGGUAUCGAACCCUGCCCCUUUCCUACCGCAAGACGCCUGACCCUACGAACUGUGCGCUCACAUCAUCCAUCCCGUACAAGAGCCAAGCCCCUUAGCCCUCACCCAUCCCUACAACAUGUGAGCAUCCUACUAAAUAUGCUACACCCUAGUCCGAAACAGGCCUGCGCCGGCCUUCAGUCACACUGCCUGCCUCCCCCCAGACUGGCCUCUGAGCCCCAAAAGCUGCUCCCCAGGCCUCUUCUGGGAACAGAUUCCUUAGGCCUGUUUUUGAGAGCAUCUGCUUCUGGCUUUGCGAGAGGUUUGUCUUUACAACUUCAGUUUCUGCUACCAUCUUGGGGAGGGGGACAUCUCCUUAGACUUGGCAGACUUCUCAUUCUUACAGGGCACCCCCUUCGUUGGCGUUCUGUUAGGAAGAGACCCACAGGCAGCACCCCCCUCAGUAGUGCUUCCCUUCCUGGCACUUGGAUAGGCUGGGGCGUUAUGCAGAUGGCAACAUGGUUCUCCGCACAAUCCUGAGGCCUGCCUUCUCCCUCUCCCCAGCAGGCCUGGCGUUUUCCUCCCACAAUGUUUGAGAUUUUGAUCCUUUUAAAUGUGAGGGUCAUCCUGCUGGGGCCAGGAUAGACAAAUGGCGAAGGAUUUGCAUAAAGGUUGUGUGAAACUUUAGGUCAUGGAAUUAGAGGUCUCUUCCACAGCUUUGCAAAAAUCUGGGUCACCCCUCUCUUGAGACGUGACUCCUGACGGGCCCCACAGCUGGCAUCUCAGUCCUCUUACUCCAGGACAGCGCAUUACUGGGGUUGGCAAGCACUUCCUUUCUGACCCAGCGCUGAGCAGAGUCCUCUCCUUUUGAAGGGGUCUCCAGGAUUAGGGAGUGGGAGUCUUGUUACAGAUGUUUCAUUCAAGAGUUUUCUGUCUUCCACCAUCUCAUAGGGCAACAGUCUCUCCCCAGCCACAUAUGCCCAGGCCUGUGAGCAGGCUUGGCUGUUUAUGAAUGUGUAACUGUGUGGUGUGGGAGGUGAGAUGGGCCUGGCAAGGGAGGCUUUCUCAUCCUUCUGUUUCCUUCUGAAGGUUUCUGGCUAAGGAGGAGA